CCGUUCGGCGCCGUCCAUUCCGCGGAACCCGGCUCGGCCCCCACGUGGCCCGGUCUCUUGGGCGUCCUCGCCGCGCCCUCGGGGGGGGCGGCACCCUGGCCGAGAGCCGCGGGCCAGGCUUCUUCGGUGAUUCCUGGCUCUCCCCUCCGCGCGGGAGGGGCCCAUUCCUCCCGACUGUUAUGAAGUUGUCGGGGCCGCCUCCCUGCACCCCGCUUCCCCCAGCAGAUGCUGCCCCAAGGCCUGGACGCUCACAGAGCGUCGUGUCCCCGCCGCCUCCAGGGCCCCUUCGUGACACCCUGGCAUUGGUUCAUUUCUCGGUGUUGGUAACUUCAGGGAGGAUGACAUCUUCAGGAGGGCAGCGCGGCUUUGCAGUCCUGGACAUACGUUCCGUUUAGUCUUAGGGGGUCUGUUUGACGGAUGAGACGAAGUGCAGGGAAGUCAGGGACUUGUCCACGCCACGCGCUGGGAGUGCCAGGGCCUGGGCUGGCCGCUCUUUCCUUUCUGUGUCAUUUUUCAUAGGGAUUUUGGGAAGACCUGGCACGUUGUGUUCAUCGUAGUGUCUUCCUGGUCAGUGGCUGUUGUCCUUUUCCCUGAAAGGUACUUUGAAUUUGGUCACAGCGGGAACAGUGCUUUGUGUGCCACGCGGAGCUUCCUGGGGCGUCACCUUGCACAGAUCACGGCGGCGCCUGAAGCACUUCCUGCAGUUUCGUACCUCCUAUUCCAUGCGGAAAACACUCAACCCCCGUGCUUCCUCUGAUGGGACAUCUCGCCGCUCUCUUGAAUGAGAUGCCGCCAAGUGAUACCGACCAGGGUUCUUGGCCUUCCCAAUCAGUAGAAAUGGAUAAGAGGCCAGUCCAGAAAUUCAGGCAGGGCUUGACUGGGGCUCCUGCAGCUGCAGGAGGGGAGCGAAAACAAUAACAGGUUCCCUUGCUCGCUCCCGCCCCCAAAAAGAGGCCCGAGCGGUGGGAGGUGAGCUCGUUCCUUACAUGGGGUGAGGGUAGGGGUGUGUCCAGGGGUCGGGCGGAGGGGCGGCUGAGGUGUUUCGCCCACCCCCUGGCGGUGUUGAGAGCAGGGGGCACGCGCAGGACCCUGCUUUGGCUCUCUGCUCUUCGGAAGUGGCAUUUGGGUUUUUGGCCUUUUUUGUGUCUUGUCCAUAAUUUGCCCCAGCUGCGCAGGAACGCGGUUAUUUUUAGUCCCUUAGCGUUUCUUUGUAUUCUGUUGCUGAAGGAGGAGACGUAGGUCCAGGGGCAAGCUUUGCAGCCGAGGACCCCAGGUCCCAGAUCACCUUUUCAGCCAAGAUGAUUUCAACUCUCAUUCAAGGAAAAAUAGAUGUUCUUACUUCAGGGAGGGGGAGCAUGUUUUAAAAAUUACCUUCCCAUGGUGUUUUUCAUUUUGUUUUGUUUUAUUCUUCUCACAUUCAGACAUGACUUCCUAAACCAGUUUUCUGUGUGUAUGCUAACAAUUGGUAACGUUAUUUUUAGGCAUCUAGGGCAGUAAGUACUCUCCAAGUUCCAUGGGAAUGUAUAUCAAAAAAUAUUCACCGAGUUCUGUAAUUAAUUUCUUUAUUCUUUCAACUAUGAAGAGGCAGUGUAGUGUGGGUUUCACUUCCUAACUGAACAUACAGUUGAUUUCAUCUCUGGUACCUAGAUUUAAGUAAUUUUUCUAGAUAACAGUGAGUCUAAUAUAGGUCUCAAUAAAAUGCAGGUGAUUGGCUCAAAUCCAAUUGACAGGGAAGAAAACUACCUCUUGCUUCCAGAGUGCUGCUGAGGUGUAGCUCUAGUAAUCCCUAAAACGACCGCGGAGCAAAGCAAAUGGUGAAGGCGGAGAAGUCAGGGAGUACAAAGAGAAAACAAGAGGGGAGUUGCUGAGCAAUAUGGCCUAAUUACAUUGAUGAAGCAUAAUGGGCUUUUCUUUCUGCAGUUUUCUUUCCAGCAGGCUGGGUGGGGAGCGCCACUGGCGGACAAGCUGGUCAGGUGAGGAUAGUUUCUAGAUCCCUACUUGAGUGCUGAUUGAUGGAGCAGAGGGUGAAUGAUGCGGUUUGAAACGCUGAGAAGAAUAAGGUGGAGAGAGGUAGAUACCAAAGCCACACAACUAAGAAGUGUCAGGUGGCCUGGCCCCAGAGCCCAGGAUCCUCCAGCUCUGGGGAUGACAAGGGCCCUGCUCUCCUGCCAGAGGAAAAUGCGAUGUUCUGAAUCGUGGAUUUUCGGGUUACAAUACCAGAUGGGUGAAAAUUAUCCUCCCGAGGCUAAUCCGGAAGGGGAACAGUUUGGACAGCCCAGUAGCAGUUACAAUUUUCUUUGGUGCCAAUGACAGUGCGCUAAAAGGUGAGAACCCCAAGCAGCGCAUCCCCCUGGAGGAGUACGCGGCG